CAGUGGUUAGAGGAGUUGACAAGGAGACAUGCAGCUGAAGCCUCAUUCUUGCUUCAGUAUCAACUGGAAGAGGAAGAGAAGCUGGCAAAGCAACAGGCAGAGACCCUUGAGGCAAAUUAUAAGAAGUAUGAGCUGAUAGAGAAAGUCCUCAAGGAUGGCACCGCAAAAAGGUUGGGUCAUCGUUAUGGCAUCAACGAAUUUGAUGCUUGAGAGUGUAAUGGAUCCAGCUCUUUUGGAAAAGGAUCAUCUUGGGUUUUGUUGCUGGGAUCAUCUGCUGUAUCUCUCAUGAAACAUGAUCUGUCCUUUUGGCUCUGGGUGUCUUUGGGUAUUUGGGUUUCUGACCUUGUAGUGGAGCUGUGAAUAUAAUCAUGGUUUUAGUACCCUUGUACUGGAUGUUUUACUGUUCUUUGUAGAAAUCUGCCCUGCUUCCUGAAGCUUGCAAUCUCUAUUAUGAAAUGAAGCUCUUGCAUGUUGCUUGCAAA